rnacentral:lncRNA from 1 species
CUCAUGCUUGCCUUGAUGAGGCAAGAAGAUGACCAAGGUAAUUGUCAAAAUGGUACUUUCUCCCAAGAAAUCUAGAAGAAAAUAAUGAGCAUAUUUAAUGAGCAAACGAAGAAGACCUUCACCUAUAGAAACCUCAAUAAUCGGUUGAAGGUCCUAAAGAAGAACUUCAACCUAUAUUAUAACUUAGUAAAUCGAUCUGGAUGGGGAUGGGACCCCAUGCUCAAAGUUCCUAUCCCUGGGGAUGAACAAAUGUGGGAGGAGAUUAUCUCGAUGAGUGUUGGAUAGUUAUUAAUAUUAUAGCUAGUAAGCAUGUCGGCACAUGACCAUACUUAUUUAUUUGUAUUCAUAAUAAGUAAAUAAGGAGUAUGCUCGCAUUAAGGAUAAGCCCUUCCC